UACGAAGGGGGCUAGCGUUGCUCGGAAUUACUGGGCGUAAAGCGCGCGCAGGCGGCCUUUUAAGUCUGACGGUGAAAUGCCGGGGCUCAACCCCGUGCCCGCCGGAGAUACUGGGAGGCUGGAGACGAGUAGAGGCAAGCGGAAUUCCGGGUGUAGCGGUGGAAUGCGUAGAGAUCCGGAAGAACACCGGAGGCGAAGGCGGCUUGCUGGGCUCGGUCUGACGCUGAGGCGCGAAAGCGUGGGGAGCGAACAGG
rnacentral:rRNA from 1 species